rnacentral:rRNA from 1 species
UACGGGGGGGAGCAAGCGUUGUUCGGAUUUACUGGGCGUAAAGGGCGCGUAGGCGGCCACCGCAAGUCGUUGUGAAAUCUCUGGGCUUAACCCAGAAAGGUCAACCGAUACUGCGGGGCUAGAGUGCAGAAGGGGCAACUGGAAUUCUCGGUGUAGCGGUGAAAUGCGUAGAUAUCAGGAGGAACACCGGUGGUGUAGGCGGCUUGCUGGACCAUAACUGACGCUGAGGCACGAAAAGCGUGGGGAGCGAACAGG